rnacentral:misc_RNA from 1 species
AACGAGUCUGGGUUAGGGAUUGUAGCGGUUACCCCACAGGCAUUUUUUAUGCCGAGGAGUAAAAGCGAAAAGCCCGACUACCU